rnacentral:rRNA from 1 species
CCUACGGGUGGCAGCAGUCGAGAAUCAUUCACAAUGGGGGAAACCCUGAUGGUGCGACGCCGCGUGGGGGAAUGAAGGUCUUCGGAUUGUAAACCCCUGUCAUGUGGGAGCAAAUUAAAAAGAUAGUACCACAAGAGGAAGAGACGGCUAACUCGGUGCCAGCAGCCGCGGUAAUACAGAGGUCUCAAGCGUUGUUCGGAAUCACUGGGCGUAAAGCGUGCGUAGGCUGUUUCGUAAGUCGUGUGUGAAAGGCGCGGGCUCAACCCGCGGACGGCACAUGAUACUGCGAGACUAGAGUGAUGGAGAGGGAACCAGAAUUCUCGGUGUAGCAGUGAAAUGCGUAGAUAUCGAGAGGAACACUCGUGGCGAAGGCGGGUUCCUGGACAUUAACUGACGCUGAGGCACGAAGGCCAGGGGAGCGAAAGGGAUUAGAUACCCCAGUAGUC